UACGUAGGGCGCAAGCGUUUAUCCGGAAUUAUUGGGCGUAAAGAGCUCGUAGGCGGUUUGUCGCGUCUGCCGUGAAAGUCCGGGGCUCAACUCCGGAUCUGCGGUGGGUACGGGCAGACUAGAGUGAUGUAGGGGAGACUGGAAUUCCUGGUGUAGCGGGUGAAAAUGCGCAGAUAUCAGGAGGAACACCGAUGGCGAAGGCAGGUCACUGGGCCACUACUGACGGCUGAGGAGCGAAAGCGUGGGGAGCGAACAGG
rnacentral:rRNA from 1 species